rnacentral:rRNA from 1 species
UAGUCCACGCCGUAAACGAUGAGAACUAGACGUUGGGAGGGUAGCCUUUCAGUGUCGUAGCUAACGCGUUAAGUUCUCCGCCUGGGGAGUACGCUCGCAAGAGUAAAACUCAAAGGAAUUGACGGGGACCCGCACAAGCGGUGGAGCAUGUGGUUUAAUUCGAUGCAACGCGAAGAACCUUACCUGGUCUUGACAUCCUGCGAACUUACUAGAGAUAGUUUGGUGCCUUCGGGAACGCAGUGACAGGUGCUGCAUGGCUGUCGUCAGCUUGUGUCGUGAGAUGUUGGGUUAAGUCCCGCAACGAGCGCAACCCUUAUCCUUGUUUGCCAGCACGUAAUGGUGGGAACUCCAGGGAGACUGCCGGUGAUAAACCGGAGGAAGGUGGGGACGACGUCAAGUCAUCAUGGCCCUUACGAGUAGGGCUACACACGUGCUACAAUGGUGCAUACAGAGGGCAGCGAGACCGCGAGGUGGAGCGAAUCCCAGAAAGUGCAUCGUAGUCCGGAUUGG